ACAAAUUUUGAUCUUGAUCUCUUCUGAUUCAAUGAUUGGAGAGGGUAUUUCUCAAGACACUCACAGCCACACAAUGUUGUCUGGCCUCUGUAGAAAAAUCCAUGAGAAGACUGGCGCAGAUUAGGGGCUCGAAGAUCCUAGUCUACGAACAACUUCGACAGUUGACCUCUUUCAUCUUCUACAAGCACCUUGGACACUCCAAAGUGAUAGGAGAUCUGGAGGAGGAAG
rnacentral:lncRNA from 1 species